UUAUGAUGAAGCACGAGUGCUCUCUUUUUACCUCAUUCACUCUCGUUCUUUGCUAUUUUUUCUUCCUUUUCCUUGGCGAUGUAAAUUGCUCGGGAAAAUUUUGUUAUACCUUCAUUCGUGGAUUUUUAAUCGGUCAAACUUUAUUCAUUGUUUCUAGGUGAGUUCUCCUUCAUUGUUUGCUUGUUGGUUAAAUUUUUUUCUCUAUAGUGGCUCUCUGAAUCUUUUUCUUAUCUGCUUAUUUCAUUGUACUUUUGUUUGUUUCUGCUUACUUCCCUGCUUCCCUAAGUAUUGCAUGUAGUUUGAUAGCUAAUUUUUUUUUUAAGAAUUUGAGAAAAGUUAACCUAGGUUUAGAAAUUGGGGGUUUGAGCAUUUCAAUUAAACUUUCGUCUCAAAACUAAAAGGCCAUCAUAUUGAAAUUGUUGAUAAAGGUCUAAUUCAUGACGUAACUAGUUUGGUUACAAUCUAGGUGAAGUAUCAAUGUGUUGUAUUUUAACCUUUCAAAGGUGAGAUUUUGGAAGCAAUAGUUACCAUGGCUGACAAUAUAAGAAAAUUUCUUGCAUUUAAGAAAGUUAUAAUAUUUUCUUUACUAUCUAUGUUCUUUAUUCAAUGUAGAUAGUAUUUUUCCUUGAAGCAAGGCAUGUUCAGUUUCAGUCAUUGGUAUUGUCCUAAAGAAGCUAAGAUCUUUAUAUGUUUUCACUUAGUGUGGUUCUUAUCCGUUUCACCUUAUACUUCAGUACGGUUUCAAUUAUCGCCAGUAUUUCUUACCAGUUAUUGAAUAAAGAAGUUCAAAGUUGCGACUAGACAACGAUUCUAUAUGCUUGAGAAUUGCACAAUUCUGCUAAACUUGAAUAUUUAUGUUAGUUCCCUCUGAUUGAGGCGGAUCAAUUGGUUGGACGUACCCUUGUGUAAGUUUUUAAGAUUCACGAAAUUCAUAUUUAUUGACUUCUUAGACUUGGCAGGGUAAGACUUUUUACUUCUAUAUCAUGUGAGCAUUGCCUCUCUUUGAGAUUAAACUAUCUUAAUGGUUGUUUAGGAGAGUAAGCUUUUAAGUAUUUUCUUUUGGAAAGUUCUUAAAUUUUAUAAACUGAAAUGUUAGGAGAGGAAUAGCCAUUUGAUAUUUUCUUUUUUUUUAAGCACCACUAGGCAAGAGCAUAGGGUUAGGUUUUUAUUAAUAGCAAACAAGAAAAUACAACAGAUAGGAAAAGUACAAAUAAGGGGGCAUUAGCACCGGUAAUGUUACCCAUAUAACAUACCAGGCUAAACUUACCUUACUAAAUCCUAUUGAGGCUUGACAACCUCACUUAUUAACAGGAAAGCAAAACUACGAACUUGACAGGACCAGAAUUUUUAUGAUCAUCACAGAGUUUGUAAAUACUCUGUGAUGAGAUACUUAUUAACAGAAAUGCAACAUUACGAACUUGACAGGACCAGAUUUUUUAUGAUCAUCACAGAGUUUGUAACAUACUCUGUGAUGAGAUUACAAAUGAGUAUACUAACAAAGUGGUAGGUUAAAAUGAUGAAAAAAUUACACUGAUGUCCCUUUUUUGUCGAUCCUUGCAAUUUCUUCAAUUUGUAAUUCUUUAUCAACCCAUUCUUCAUGAAGUAUUUAAAAUUCGUGAUUUCUUUUUAGAUUGAUUGGAUUUUGUUGAAGUAGUUGGGGCGGCCUGCUUAAGCUUGGCAUUUCUCAUCGAAGGUCGUCUAACAUUGUCGUUCCUGCUCUUUUCCUUUGUUUGAGACUUUAGUUCCUUUGAAGCGUUAAUUUGGACUGUUUCAAUGCAUUGUGGUAGCACUUCAAUUAAGUCACCUUCUUCUGUUGCCCGAUCAAUGAUUUGGCAUGUGUAAAACACCUUGUACAUCCAAGUUUGGUACAUCUUGAGAUUUAAUAUCACUUUGCUUGACUUGUUGUUGUACCUCAUUCCUGCUGCUAUUUGCACGUUUAGCGCUACAAGGAUCACGACCCAAAAAUUCAAGGGAUGUGCAUUUAGCAUUGCAUCCAACACUUGUUUAUCAUGGGAUAAAAAAUCUUUUGUACUGUCAUCCUUAUUGGUUUCUGCCCAGAAUUGACAAGAAGCUGUGAAUUACUACAGGAUCCUACUUCCUCCGGUGUGCUCAAUUCUUCAUUACUUUCAUAUCCUCGUUUGUCACCGGCUCGAGACUCAAAAUUUCAAAGGGAUGUGCAUUUAGCAUUGCAUCCAACAGUUGUUUAUCAUGGGAUAUAAAAUCUGUUGUAUUGGUCAUCCUUAUUGGUUUCUUCCCAGAAUUGACAAGAAGCUGUGAAUUACUAGAGGAUCCUACUUCUUUCGGUGAGGCGAUUCUUCAUUACUUUCAUAACCUCGAUCUUCACUGGCUCGAGAUCCCACACUGUCCAUAGAAUCCAAUAGUCUUCUCUCUUCUGCAGAAAAGAUUGUACUUCUUUCCUUGGCCAUUUGCAAUUUGUCUCCAGUGAAGAUUCCCUCGUUAAUAUUGAAGUUUGAAAGUGCAGCAAAAGAGUUUAAGUUUGUAUGAAUAACUGGAUUCUUGUCAGCGAUAUGCAUUUUGUUUUUGGAUUUUGGAGAUGCUUUUCUGUUGGACAUCGAUAAGCAGUUGUUUGCAUCAGCUUCAGUAGCAUCCGUAGGCUGUAAAUCCAAACCUCUUUGAAAUAAGGCUUUAUGAUAAACUGCACCUGUUGCAUCUGUCGAAGAGACAUCCGUAGGCUGUAAAUCCAAACCUCUUUGAAAUAAGGCUUUAUGAUAAACUGCACCUGUUGCAUCUGUCAAAGAGAUCUCGCUGCCUUGUUGAACCAUAUCUGGCCGAUGAGAUAUAUCUUGACGAUAUGUGGUCUGCCCAAUCUCAUUUUCUGUAGGACUUGCUGAUAUUUGAGCUAAUUGACUCACAAAAUCAAGAUUAUCAUUUGUAGAUAUAGCUCGAACAUCAAGACCUUGCAGAGGCAGUAUACAAUCCAGUUCUGAAUAAAUAGCAAUUGCAGCGUGUGAUUCAUUAUCUACUGUCCUGUUGGUUUUGUUAUUGCCCUUUGCAGCAACAUCUUUUUUGGUAUGCUCAGAAUUAACCAAAACAGAUGCUUUAUUCUGUUCUUUUUGUUGUUGUUGUCCAAACUUUUUUGAAUCAUCAAGUACAUUUGUUAUUGUCGACUUCCCCCCCUGAUUGAACUGCCAGAACAUUGUGAUCUGUAAAAGAUCUGAUGUUAUCCGAGGCCUCUAAAUUAGUUCCAUUUGUUUGAUCAAGCAGUGUUGUGUUUUUAUUGUUGGAAUUCUGCUAUAUCUGUUGUUGCUCGAUUAGCUUCUCUUCAUUGCUUUUAACAUUGUCAUUUCCUGGCACAGUAGAUAGAUCACUAGGUUCCAAAUUUGAAACCUUCUUUUCAUUUACAGCAUUAAAAGGCAACUUCGAUGGAACAUUAGCUUGCACUUUACAACAAUGUGCAGAAUCACCCUUUGACCUUAGAAGGGCUUCUGCAGUUGUACCAUUUGUAUGAGAAACCAUUUUUUGGGCUCAUAACUGCUGCACAUUGCAUCUGUGAUGCUGACCAUCAAGAUCAACCCACUGCCCAGUCUGUGCAGUAGAAGUAGUAUGAUCUGCAGUAGUCUGCAUUGCCUCUGCAGUAGUCACAUAUGUUCUUUGCAUAAAUAGUAGAGGCAGGUACAUCUCGAGAAGGUUUAGGGGGUCUUUUAUCCAACUUCAAUACCGCCUCCAUAUUCUCAACUGGAACUGCUGCAUGUGGUGCAUCUGUUACUCCAGCAAUCCCAGCACUCCUAGCCACUAUAUGUUGAUUUGCUUCACCCCUAUCAUUCCCAGUAGGUUGUGUAGCCUUAGAAUUAGCAGUCUUUUUCGUACCAUCCUUUACAAUACCAUGUUGUACUGCUGAACUUCACCCCUAUCAUUCCCAUUAGGUAGUGUAAUCUUAGAAUUUUUCGUACCAUCCUUUACACUACCAUGAUGUACUGCUGAAUCAGUUGGACCAACACCUUCCUUGAAGGCUGCAUUAUUUUCCACAUUCACACCUUCUUGUCCAGCUCUUAGCACAUUGGACUUGUAUUGCUGACCUUUCUCCACUGGUUCAGCUGAUAUAACAGUUGGAUCUCUAUUAACAUUAAAAGAAACAGAAUUCUCCAAGUAAGUACCAUUUCCUUGGCCAGGUAAUGUACUCUUAGGAUUGUUAUUAUUCUGUACCAAAAGCUGCUGCUCGAUUGUUUUAUCCUGCAUACAGACAUCUACCACAAUCUGGACAGACCUUUUUGCACUGUCACCUGAUGCUACAGAAAAUGCAGCAGUAGGUUUCCAAUUAGACACCACCAUAUCUGAAUGUUUUUCACUUAAAAUAUUCAAAGGAGUAUGUAAUGGAACAGUAUUUGGCCAUUUGGACCUUUUUGCAGUGUCUCCUGAUGCUACAGAAGAUGCAGCAGUAGGUUUCAAAUUAGACACCACCAUAUCUGAUUGUUUUUCACUUAAAAUAUUCAAAGAAGUAUGUAAUGGAACAGUAUUUGGCCAUUUACAAAUCUGCACCCCGACACCAUUUGUCCUUGGAAGAGCUUUAGCAGUUUGAAGACUUGAGUCCGAAACAUUUGUUUGUCUUGCAUCAUGAAUCACAUUAGGAAGUGUCCUUUCUCUUCGACGUCCUGCAAGAUGAGCAUUCAAAUAAUCCCUGGCAUCACCUUCUAAUUUAGCGACACUGCCCCUACCUUCAGAUUCAGCACCAUGAAUUGCUUUUUCAUUGUGUUCCUCUGUAAUCCAGCGACAUAAUUUUACAUUAUAUCCUUGAUGAUUACAAUACGUGCAGUAUUCAGGAACUUUAUCAAACACGAUCUGCUGGUCGUAUUCUGCAAUUUUUCCAGAUUUCGAAUCUACUAUCUUGAUCUGUAUUUUCUUUGGAUGUUUGUUCAGUAAAUUAAUCAAGACUUUAACUUGGGCCGUACUAGGUCGCGUUCGAUCUUUGGUAGCCUUAUCUACUGCAAUUGGCAUUCCUAUUGCAGAUGCAAUGGACAUUAAGGAUUUUUUGGCGAACAGAUUUGCUGGCAGAUCGGGAAAGGAAAUCCAAGCCNNNNNNNNNNNNNNNNNNNNNNNNNNNNNNAUGUAGCCUUAUCUAGUGUAAGAGGCUUUCCCACAGUAGAUGCAAUGGACAUUAAGGAUUUUUUUGCGAAGACAUUUGCUGGCAGAUCAGGAAAUGAAAUCCAAACCAUAACUUUUGACGUUUCUUCACGGGGAUUAAAUCCCAUUGUCCAUGGGAAUGUCCUAAAGAGGAAGUCAUCUCCUUUUGCCUUAAUAAAGCCAGUUGUUGAUACCACCUGAGCAUAAUCUUCAAACAGAUCAAAUCUUACCAGAAUGUGCCGAUAUUCUAGAUGCCCAAUGUUGCAAUUACCUUUGACACCGAGUGGCUUCGGCAAAAUCUGCCUCAUCUCCUGCAGAUCAGGUUUCCCAUAUGAAAAUUUGAUUAUUACUGCUUGAUGAAGACCUUCCUCCUUAGUGAAAGAAUUCACUUCAUCCACUCUGAAUUCAACAGUAGGAACUCCAUGGUUAAACGUUACUGGGCAAAAUUCCGGCUUUGGAUUUGUUGCAGCAGAUUUAUGACCAGAAAGAAACGAUGCAUAUGACUGCUUGGAUCCUUGAAUAAUUCGAUUUUCUGAUAUAUUUUGAGAAGCCUCUCCCACAGCACAAGGCUGGGGAGAGGGUGUCGCAUCCAUGGAAACUUGAACAGUUCAAUUUUCCGAUAUGUUUUGAGAAGCCUCUCCCACAGCAUAAGGCUGGGGAGAGGGCAUCCCUUCCAUGGUUGUCUCAAAACUCAAACAGAAUUCAUUACAUUUAUGCUAUCGGAAAGAUAUGGUGCUGGAAAAUUCAAAUGAUGAGGAAGCUACAGUAAAUCGUAAAUUAAGAUUUAAGAUGUAGGAAAAUUGGUUAUAGAUUUGAUGAAAAACUCAAUUGGGGAUUGUUCGCAAAGAGAAGGGGAUUUUGUGACACCAAUUUUGGGAUAAUCCACCACCGAAUUCCGGCGAUAUGUCCGAUGAAUAGUGACGGAUUCACUAUUCACAGAGAGAGAGAGUCACUAUUCACUGGAUCUUGUGACACCAAUUUUGGGACAAUCCACCACCCAAUUCCGGCGUUAUGUCCGAUGAAUAGUGACAGAUUCACUAUUCAUAGAGAGAGACUCACUAUUCACAGAGUAUAUAUUGUGAGGAAAUUUAGCCAUUUGAUAUUUUCACGUUACAGUUUGAAUACUCCAGUAUUAAUGGUUAUGUGUUGCUACUUAUUUUUUUUAAAAAAGUUGUGUGCUGCAUUAUGAAUUACAAAGCUCAAAACCCAAAAAAUAUAAUAUGAAUAUGUUCCUAAACAUGACUCUCUUUCUGUGAAUAGUGAAUCCGUCACUAUUCAUCGGACAUAUCGCCAGAAUUCGGUGGUGCAUUGUCCCAAAAUUGGUGUCACAAGAUCCCCUUCUCUUUGCGAACAAUCCCCAAUUAAAUAUAUGCAUAGGUUUUUCUGGAGUCUGGUUCUAGCCUCAUCACUACCUCGCCGGGGUUAGGCCAGACACUUGCCAGCACAUGGGGUUGGUUGUGCUGAUGCUAAACUCUGUGUGCUCUUUUAUACAGAUCCAAGUGCCGGAGCAGCUUAUGGUGCGCAGCAGUAGCCGUGGAGCAGUCCUUCAAUCCAAGAGCUUUCCGAGGUAGUCAUGCAGGCGUCCACAGGCCCGUAAUCUAUUUUACCUUUUCUACCAUGUUUCUCUUGUACAGAGACAGAGUUUAUUUAUGUUAUUUUAGACCUUUGUGUUUAGCAUUCUUAGAUGGUCCGUGAAAUGUUUUGACAUCAGGUGCUGGGUAGAGAUUGUAUUGAUGUUUUAGAUGAUGUUUUCAUAUUUAGUUUAGACUUCCGC
rnacentral:lncRNA from 1 species